rnacentral:rRNA from 1 species
UCCUACGGGGAGGCAGCAGUGGGGAAUAUUGCACAAUGGGCGAAAGCCUGAUGCAGCGACGCCGCGUGAGGGAUGACGGCCUUCGGGUUGUAAACCUCUUUCAGCAGGGACGAAGCGCAAGUGACGGUACCUGCAGAAGAAGCACCGGCCAACUACGUGCCAGCAGCCGCGGUAAUACGUAGGGUGCGAGCGUUGUCCGGAAUUACUGGGCGUAAAGAGCUCGUAGGCGGUUUGUCGCGUCGUCUGUGAAAACCCGCAGCUCAACUGCGGGCUUGCAGGCGAUACGGGCAGACUUGAGUACUGCAGGGGAGACUGGAAUUCCUGGUGUAGCGGUGAAAUGCGCAGAUAUCAGGAGGAACACCGGUGGCGAAGGCGGGUCUCUGGGCAGUAACUGACGCUGAGGAGCGAAAGCGUGGGUAGCGAACAGGAUUAGAUACCCUGGUAGUCCACGCCGUAAACGGUGGGCGCUAGGUGUGGGUUUCCUUCCACGGGAUCCGUGCCGUAGCUAACGCAUAAGCGCCCCGCCUGAGAGCCCCAA